AAGUUAAGAAAUUAAAAAGAAAAUCAACACACACCACACACACUUCAGUGUGUGUGGGUGUCGCCUGGAACAAAGAAGCAAGAGCCAAAAACCCUCAACAUCAUAAAUUCAGUAAAUUGAAAGGGAAUCCAGGGCCUAAAUCAUUGCAUGUGCACAUAGAAACAUUCAACUAAGUUAGUCUAUCGAAUGGAGUAAAAGAAGAAGACACAAGCCAUUCCGGAUCACAAUCAAAACACGACAAAGGUAAAGCGACUUGUUAGAUGUCGUCAUUUGGAUCGAACACACCCAUGAUGUACGCUUCCGCAAGAAUAUUAGCUUGGGUCAAAACUUUUGUUAAAUGUACUUUUUGGUAAAAUGGAUCUUUUGUAAGUAACAAAACUUGGUUGUUGUUAGUUGUCGAACUCGUAGUCGAAGACAAUGUUAGAUGUUUAUGAAAUGUUGGGUUGUAAGUUAUUUUAACAUCUACUAAUUAGUCAUGCUAUGGUUAAAUGCAGAAUUUUGCUUAUGAA